UAGGGAAUCUUCCGCAAUGGACGCAAGUCUGACGGAGCAACGCCGCGUGAGUGAAGAAGGAUUUCGGUUCGUAAAACUCUGUUGUUAGAGAAGAACAGCGCAUAGAGUAACUGUUAUGCGUGUGACGGUAUCUAACCAGAAAGCCACGGCUAACUACGUGCCAGCAGCCGCGGUAAUACGUAGGUGGCAAGCGUUGUCCGGAAUUAUUGGGCGUAAAGAGCUUGUAGGCGGUUCGUCGCGUCUGGUGUGAAAGCCCAUCGCUUAACGGUGGGUUUGCGCCGGGUACGGGCGGGCUAGAGUGCAGUAGGGGAGACUGGAAUUCCCGGUGUAGCGGUGGAAUGUGUAGAUAUCGGGAAGAACACCAAUGGCGAAGGCAGGUCUCUGGGCUGUUACUGACGCUGAGAAGCGAAAGCGUGGGGAGCGAACAGG
rnacentral:rRNA from 1 species